ACUUUGAAUGAAACCCUGCACGGAUCAAUACCCAUUAUAAUAAGGAUAGAAGCUUUUAAAUAAUUGGUAAAUGGAAUUUUAAACGCUUAAAGAACGAAACCGGCUCCCCGACCACCAAUGAGCAGUCUGUAUUAUGAAGAGCCCAAAAAGCCGAAGAAGGUGGUUGGAUGGGACGAGGCGAACAGUGCCCGACCCCCACUGAGGAUCGAUAUGGAGGGACCAGGGCCGUGUACAUACUCACCGCAGAAUAAACCCUUGUAUGAAACGAACGCCCCGUCCUGGUCGUUUGGCAGCAAAACUCAACCAGAUAAAGAUGGUGGAGGCCGAACCUCGUGGGAGAAAUCGUGGUUUCAAAGUCCCCACAUAUACCAACAGAAAACAGAUUUCUUCUCCGAUAAUGCGUGGCCUACGCCAAGCUCCUACACACAGCGCCCCCUUCUGGGGCCCAGACAGAGGACCACGAUUGAGGCCCCUUCCUUCAGUAUCGGUGUCAGGAGGAAAAUCGAUUUGUCCAACCCAGGGUCUUUUAAACAGCCCUCACCCGGGGAGUACGAGAAGAACCAGGCGGACAAAGUAGUGUACAGAUCCAGUCCUGCCUUCUCACACCAGUUCCGCAGAGAAGGGACAGUGCUCUGGUCCCAUAAUGAAAAGACCCCCGGUCCGGCAGCGUACAGUCCUCGUCUAGAUAAUUCCAAACUGAUGAGCCCAGCUUUCACCAUCCGAAGUUUACGGCGGGAAAAGUCGCACGUACUUGGGCCUUUCGCUACCUUCUGAUUGUUGUGAACUUUUCCUACCUGUCUGUGAUAAAGAUACGUUUAAGGAUCUACUGUUAAUUUUAUAAUUUCAUAUGUAUAAUAUCUUUAUGUGAUAUAUAUGUUAUAUUUUCUUAUAUAUAUAUUGUUGAUAUAUUUGUGUAAUAUGUUGAAUUUUGCUCAAACGAGUCAUUGCAGUAUUUUUAUUUAUUUUUCUUGUGAAAAAAAUAAAAUGAGCGAAAGCC
rnacentral:misc_RNA from 1 species